rnacentral:rRNA from 1 species
GAGUUUGAUCUUGGCUCAGAUUGAACGCUGGCGGCAUGCCUUACACAUGCAAGUCGAACGGCAGCACGGGAGCUUGCUCCUGGUGGCGAGUGGCGAACGGGUGAGUAAUGCAUCGGAACGUAUCCUGGAGUGGGGGAUAACGUAGCGAAAGUUACGCUAAUACCGCAUAUUCUGUGAGCAGGAAAGCGGGGGACCUUCGGGCCUCGCGCUCUUGGAGCGGCCGAUGUCGGAUUAGCUAGUUGGUGAGGUAAAGGCUCACCAAGGCGACGAUCCGUAGCAGGUCUGAGAGGAUGAUCUGCCACACUGGAACUGAGACACGGUCCAGACUCCUACGGGAGGCAGCAGUGGGGAAUUUUGGACAAUGGGCGAAAGCCUGAUCCAGCCAUGCCGCGUGUGUGAAGAAGGUCUUCGGAUUGUAAAGCACUUUAAGUUGGGAGGAAGGGCAGUAAGUUAAUACCUUGCUGUUUUGACGUUACGACAGAAUAAGCACCGGCUAACUCUGUGCCAG